CCCACUUGUGGUCGCAUUCUCAAGAGCGGCUGUCUGCGCCGCGGGGCAUCACUUUCGCUUCUGCCUCCUCCUGCGCCUAUUGCGGCAACUACUCACGCUCCUACUGGACGAGGAGAGGGAGGUGAAUCCGUGGCAGAGCUCUGCUGAACAUAUGCAAGUAAAGAAUGAAGAGCCAAAGAAAUGCACUACUUCAGUUUCUACAUCAGAAGAUCAGUAAGGCAGAAAUUCUACUUCAGACUGCUGCAGACAAGAGCAUAGGGCUCCCUCUCCCCUCUGGCUCCCAGCCAGAGGACUUUCUUCCCAAGAGGAGCAGCACUUCAGCAUCAUUCAUACCGACACCAGCUACUUGUUUCUGAGGCUAAGUAUCAGAGUGCAUCUAAGCAGCUGGCACACUCUGCGAAUCCAGUCCCAAGCUCCUGUUCCUGGAGACCUGAGAAUCAUGGCAGGCUCUUACAUUAACCUUAGAACAAGGAGACUCCUAAUUUAAUUUCUUAUAUAUUAGCUUAAUUUAUAAACCCUGUCAAGUACUAACUACUGGAUUUGGAAGGCUGGGAGAAGAGCUAGUCUCCAAACAUUUCUACAAGGUCUGUGGAAGUGGCAUGAGGUUGGCCUCUUACACAUGGCAAAUCCACUUGCACAAUUCAGCACAGCAGCUUCCUCUGGGAAGGCCCUCCACCAAGACCAGAGCAGUCAGCUCAGAUGCAACUUGGAGACACAAGUUCGACAUUCACGCAUGCCCAUCUACAGCACAACGCAUGCAAGCAUUCUGUCGCCCUGCUCCCCCACAACCUGUGCUACUCGCAACGCAGGGCGAGGCCAAGCCCCUGACGCAUGCGCACCUCAGCAGGCCCAGCCCACAGCAAGUGGCAGGAAGGAGAAACCCAAGGGAGGAGGUCUGUAAGUGGAUACACUGUAACCAACCGAGUCUAAACGCCAGAAGAAGAACCUUCCAGACUGCGAGUCACAGUUCUAGCCCUGCCGAGGAGAUCAUAGCAGCCCCCAGCUCAGAAUCUGCAGAAGCACACAGCUCCAUCCACAGCACUCAGGGUAUGGAGCCUCUGAACCCGUCCAGCUAGGAUAUCACUAGCUUGCUCAGCCGUGGAGUCGACGAGGAGGAAGAACUACAGGGUCAGUGCCUGGAUGGGACUCGUGCUUUAGCGAUCUCAGGAAACCGAGGUUCCCUGGGAGAGGCGAGUGGACUGGACGGUGGCCCAGCACCACGACUGCUCUCAGAGUGCAGCCCUUCAGCGCCUCCUUCCCACACCCUCGGCUCCAAUGCCUUGAUCUUUCUCUUUGGGUUUCUACUUUUCCAGUUGUGGAGGCUGCGGUGCUGUCGCUUACUGAAGAGUCUGAAGAGGAGGAAAAGGAGGCACAACCCGAACCUGAGCAAGGCACAGCAGCAGCAGCAGAAAAGUCAAAGUUGGCAGGAGCCCAAGGCGGAGAAGAAAAAGAAGGCAGCGGCGUUGGCGCAGGAGCUCCUGGCUCCAUACAGGACGAAAACCGCCAGAGCAUCGGCGGCAGCAAUGGCAGUGAUGAACACAGCGAGGACAACAAGGAACCCUGGCAGCAGGAGCUGCCCCUCCAGGACGCCGUCUGGGGGCUGGAGCCUGGCGAUGCACAGCAAGCCUUCGUCCACGUCUUCACCCCAUUGCAGCUGCAGGUGCAGGAGGGCAUUUUCCGACGCACACAGUUCCCCAGAGAUUUCCUGCGAUUUGGUUUCAGAACAGAAGAGCCUACUGGAGGAGACAUCAGAGGGCCUUAAUGUUGAGAAGCAUGCCACCCCCCUUGGGUGUGGGCCAGCUUGUCAUGGUAACCGUGGUUGUCCCCUGUUAUGCCAUCCUUGUCCAGCAGCGGGAUGAGAGAUGGUUUGUUCUGGAGCCACAGCCAUUCUGGCAGCCUGUGUUCCCACACCACCCUUUCCUCCUCCUUUCUUUCCUCCUUCACUCUUGUUUCUUCCACCUAUGCCUCCCCCUGGCCAGGCCCAAUUUGGCCCAUUCCCUUUUGUUAUCAUCCAUUUUUUAAUAUUCCCCAUUGUCUAAGGGAUAGUCUCUGUGCCACUUUUUGCCAGAGUGUCUUUGAGCCGGAUUCGUAUUUUGCAUAGCACCCCAUCAAGAGCUCAUCAAAUGUCUAUUAAACAUAUUAACGAAAAGUACAAGUGCAUUGACCCAUUGACCCUGAGAGUUGUUCCUUUAGUAUGCAAAUUUAGGACUAUCUAGCUGACAAAUGCCUAGGGUAAUGAAACAAUUUGCCAUGAAAUUGGAAGUCUGAAAUAGGAGGGAAAAAAAAGAGGUCUUGCAAAUCUAUAACACCUACUUCUGUGUGCAUGUCUAAUACAUCUUUGUAUUUAAAUGCCACCUAUAUAGUGUUUCAUUACAAAAAAUAUAUAAAGAGCUCUGAUUAAUUGGCCUAAAGAAAAAAUAAGCACUUAAAUCAAAUACUGUAUCUGAAUAAUAGAAACUUUAAGCCUAAAUGCUUUUUCAAGUUCAUGUGACUUUAGUAAAUAUUUAAUAAAUGACCUGGUUUUAAAACUAUUGGUAAAAUAUAAUUAGAAAUGUCUUCAGAAUUUUCAACAUAUAUUAUUCUUUAGAUUUAUUUGUCAAGCAGUUUACUAUGUACCUCUGGCAGAUAUUAAAAGGUGUCAACAUUUACACGAGUGUUAUAAAGCAUUAUAAAGCUUGCAGCCAAAAGGAGAAUUAGUCUUGUUUGUGUAAUUUUUUUAAUAAAUAAGGCAUUUAACAUUGUUGGUUUAAUAAAAACAACAAAACCCCUGAGUUUUUGGCCAAAAAAACCCACCUCAUUUAUUUAGCCUUAUGUGUCUUACUUAAACACCUGAAAAACACAGAUAUCAAAAUGGUUAACAGGGAAAUAGCUUUAAAUGAUGACUACCACAGUUUUCCUAAGUAAUCUCCAUAAACUACUUUAAAAAUUAGUUAAGUAUGUAAAUGUAAUGGAAUACAGGCUUGUAAAUAAACUUAUAUAAUUUAAAGUCUAAAGUUAUAUUUAAUUAAAUGUUAAACAUUAA